AAGCCGAGUAUGUGAACUACUCCUCUUUCUUUUUAGGAGUGUUCACUAUCUUCGUUCACUCGUAGAUAGCAUCAGAACUUCCUAUCAUUUACCUUGAGAAAACCAGAGUGUUCAAAGCAGGUGAGGUUUCACUGACCUUUCCACCGUUGAAUGCUACAGCAUGGGAUAAUGAAACAGGACCUUAAUCCAGUCUUCGUUGGUCUCUCGGGGUUGGGGUAAUGAUUGAUAGGAGCGGUCGUGGGCGUCGGGAUUGCGUUGUCAGAGGUGAAAUUCUUGGAUUCACGCAAGACCAACUACUGCGAAAGCGUUCGCCAAGGACGUUUUCUUUAAUCAAGAACGAAAGUUAGGGGAUCGAAGACGAUCAGAUACCGUCGUAGUCUUAACCAUAAACGAUGCCGACCAGGGAUUGGGAGACGCACUAAUUUUUCAAAUGGCUCCCCC
rnacentral:rRNA from 1 species